AACCUCCGCAAUGUGAGAAAUCGCGACGGGGGGAUCCCAAGUGCCAUUCUUAACGGGAUGGCUUUUCAUUAGUGUAAAGAGCUUUUGGAAUAAGAGCUGGGCAAGACCGGUGCCAGCCGCCGCGGUAACACCGGCAGCUCUAGUGGUAACAAUUUUUAUUGGGCCUAAAGCGUCCGUAGCCGGUUUAAUAAGUCUCUGGUGAAAUCCUGUAGCUUAACUGUGGGAAUUGCUGGAGAUACUAUUAGACUUGAGACCGGGAGAGGUUAGAGGUACUCCCAGGGUAGAGGUGAAAUUCUGUAAUCCUGGGAGGACCGCCUGUUGCGAAGGCGUCUAACUGGAACGGUUCUGACGGUGAGGGACGAAAGUUAGGGGCGCGAACCGGAUUAGAUACCCGGGUGUCCUAACUGUAAACGAUGCGGACUUGGUGUUGGGGUGGCUUUGAGCUGCUUCAGUGCCGAAGGGAAGCUGUUAAGUCCGCCGCCUGGGAAGUACGGUCGCAAGACUGAAACUUAAAGGAAAU
rnacentral:rRNA from 1 species